rnacentral:misc_RNA from 1 species
GAUGAAGAACGUAGCGAAAUGCGAUAAGUAAUGUGAAUUGCAGAAUUCAGUGAAUCAUCGAAUCUUUGAACGCACAUUGCGCCCCUUGGUAUUCCGAGGGGCAUGCCUAUUCGAGCGUCAUUAUCACCCCUCAAGCCUAGCUUGGUGUUGAGGCCUGCUGUCAAGGCAGCCUCUAAAAUCAGUGGCAGUGCUGUCGGGCUCUAAGCGUAGUAAAUCUAAUCGCUAUAGACACCUGGUGGACACUCGCCAGAACCCCCCCAUUUUUUAAUGAUUGACCUCGGAUUAGGUAGGGAUACCCGCUGAACUUAAGCAUAUCAAUAAGCGGAGGA